GUCCCUGACUCAGCAGAAUUCCCAAUUCCUUCUCGUCCAUCACCACAUUGAAGCUGGUUGGUCAGCCAGAGAGAGAUGGAGAGUGAGAUCUGGAGCCUUCAGUAAAUCCUGCAGCCGGUACUCAGGAGGUUCCUGAAUCAAUAGACUUCCCAACUGCUGUGUGUCUCAUCCAUCACCUCAUUGAAGAUGGUUGGUCAGCCAGGGAGACAAAGGGCAGGGAGAUCUGGAGCCUUCAAUAAAUCCUGCAGUGAGGUAAUCAGGAUGUUCCUAACUCCUGUCUCAUCCAUCACCUCAUUGAAGCUGGUUGGUCAGCCAGAGAGAGAGAGAGAGAUAGAGAGAGGGAGACCUGGAGCCUUCAGUCAAUCCUGCA